rnacentral:tRNA from 3 species
UAUCCUUUAAUUCAAUUGGUAGAAUAUUAAACUACGGAUUUAAAUAUACUGGUUCGAAUCCAGUAGGGAUUU